GGAUAAUUAAAGCCAAUAUAAAUAAAGAACUGAAUAAAAGUCUUUAGUUCAGACAGCCCUAAUUUUGUCAUAAAUAAUGGAAUUUCCUUUUGGACACCACCACCACCGUCGCGACGACGACGGUGGAGAGGAAUUUCCACCUCCCGGACGACGACCACCACCGUCAGCCUACGACGAACCACCACCGUCAGAAGUUACCCAUGUCUAUCACACUUCCCAUGUAGGUGGACCACCACCGAUGGAUCCCAAUUAUAACCGUCCUCAUUAUCCUCCACCGCCACCUAUGGAGGACGAUUAUGGUCGGACUAGUUAUCCUCCUCCGUCAAUGGAGGAUAGUUAUGGUCGGACUAAUUAUCCGCCUCCGCGAAUGGAGGAGAACUAUGGUGGAUCUUAUAAUCGUACACCGCCUUAUUAUGAGGGCCCGCCACCACCGCAACCACCUAGUUAUUCCUCCGUCGAACACGUGUCUCACGAGAGUGAGAGUGAGAGCGUUCAUCGUCAGCAUGAUCAUCAUCGUUUUCAACCACAUGUGCCUUCAUUCUUCCACCAUGAGACCUCACCACAUCCAGAGCUCAUCGAUAAGCCUUCAUUUAGGGUUUAUACAAAGGCUGAUCCCAAUUACUCUCUCACUAUCCGUGACGGCAAAGUCGUUCUUGCCUCUUCUGAUCCAUCCGAUCCUUUUCAACACUGGUAUAAAGAUGAGAAGUACAGCACUAAAGUGAAGGAUGAAGAGGGGUUUCCAAGCUUUGCUCUGGUUAAUAAAGCUGCAGGACUGGCCAUGAAGCACUCUGUUGGCGCCUCUCACCCUGUAAUUAACACACUGAUGUUCAAGGGCCUUGCCUUCCUGAUGUUACAUGGCUUUUGACUGGAAGUCUUGUGGACAGAGAGCAGGGACGUGAGUGAUGGUUAUCGAGCAGUUAGGAUGGUUAAUAACAUUCGCCUCAAUCUAGAUGCAUGGAAUGCUGAUAAAGAACAUGGAGGUGUCCGUGACGGGACCAUUGUUGCUCUCUGGGAAUGGUGGAAAGGAGACAACCGUAACCAACAAUGGAAGAUCGUUCCCUACUGAUAUGUUGGCUCGUGAAUGAUGACUGGACGAGUUUAAAUAAUGGAGUUGAUGCUUGGUGUUUUUUUUAUUGUGUGGCUUAUUACGCAUUUUGUAUUGUAUUCAAUGUCCCUCCAAGAAUGUAAAAGAAAUUGAAAGCAAGGGAAAUACUAUGUAUUGUGUGGGAGGUGACAUGGCUAUGGUAUGUAUGUGUUUUAAUUUCUAUUUUGUGCUCGGUAGUUUGUGCCUGUUUAUCUUCUUUCUUAUUACUAAGAUAUAUGACAAAGGAUCACAACAGCCUUAUGAAGCCAUAAAUUUAGCCA